GGCUGGGGUGAAUGGAGCUGAGCUUAGUGUGGGUUACGAGGCGGGACUCGCUAGUACAAAGGAUGGGUCCCGGGGACUUUGUAUUGGAGUAGCGGGGACGCGCACUGGAGGAGGGGGGGACACCCGAUAUUUCGGGGUUGGAGCACCGGGAGGAUGGGGAACGUGGAGAGCGCGGGGGGGACCCCGGGUACAACUCUGCUGCCGCUGAAAGUCCCGAUGCCGGAGCCGGGAGAGUUGGAGGAAAGAUUCGCCAUGGUCCUGAGCUCCAUGAACCUUCCUCCAGAUAAGGCACGGCUCCUGCGGCAAUAUGAUAACGAAAAGAAGUGGGAUCUUAUCUGUGACCAGGAGCGAUUUCAAGUGAAAAAUCCACCGCAUACUUAUAUCCAGAAACUACAGUCUUUUUUAGACCCUGGCGUAACACGAAAGAAAUUUAGAAGGCGAGUACAAGAAUCCACUAAAGUUCUUCGUGAGUUGGAAAUCUCUCUCCGGACCAAUCAUAUUGGGUGGGUCCGGGAGUUUCUGAACAAUGACAACAAAGGCCUGGAUGUGCUGGUGGAGUACCUCUCUUUUGCACAGUGCGCAGUCAUGUUUGAUUUUGAGGGCCUGGAAAAUGGGGAGGAAGGCUUGGUAGAAAAGUCCAAACCAUGGAGCAGAUCCAUCGAGGAUCUGCAGCAUCCCAACUCCCUGCCUACCCCUUUCACCAACGGCCUCGCUCGCUCUGCCCGCCAGUCUGUGCUCCGCAGCUACAACACUUUACCUGGCAAAAAGGCACUGAAGAACUCAAGGCUGGUCAGCCAAAAGGAUGAUGUUCAUGUGUGCAUCAUGUGCCUGAGGGCUAUCAUGAACUAUCAGUAUGGCUUUAAUUUAGUAAUGUCCCAUCCUCAUGCCGUGAAUGAAAUUGCUCUCAGUUUAAACAACAAGAAUCCAAGAACCAAAGCUUUAGUACUGGAACUCUUAGCUGCUGUGUGCUUGGUCCGAGGAGGCCAUGAAAUCAUCCUCUCGGCUUUUGACAAUUUCAAAGAGGUCUGCAAGGAAACGCAUCGUUUUGAGAAACUCAUGGAGUAUUUCAGAAAUGAAGACAGCAAUAUUGACUUCAUGGUUGCUUGCAUGCAGUUUAUUAACAUCGUUGUUCACUCAGUGGAGGAUAUGAAUUUUCGUGUCCAUCUGCAGUUUGAGUUUACAAAGUUGGGCCUUGAAGAUUUUUUGGAGAAGGCCAAGCACACGGAAAGUGAGAAGCUGCUUGUGCAGAUCCAGGCUUAUCUGGACAACGUGUUUGAUGUUGGUGGCCUGCUAGAAGAUGCUGAGACCAAGAACGUUGCACUUGAGAAGGUGGAGGAGCUGGAGGAUCAAUUGUCCCAUAUGACUGAAAAGUUACUGGACCUGGAGAAUGAGAACAUAAUGCGGGUGGCAGAAUUGGAGAAAACUCUUCUAUACAGGGAAAAGGAACUGGCAGUUCUCAAGGAAACUUAUGAGAACGCAAAUCAUCAGGUGCACACACUAAGGAGAAUUAUCAAGGAGAAGGAAGAGGCAUUUCAACAUCUCCGACAGCUUGACCAGGCCAAUUCUUCCAAGCCUGCUGGGACUGUACUUCCAAUUCCAGCGGCCCCCAGUGGAGACAUAUUUUUGUCUGCUGAACUUCUACCACCCCCUGCCUCUGCCUCUGUUCCUGCGCCACCCCCACCUCCUCCACCUCCUCCUCCACCACCACCACCACCUCCUCCAAUGCCAAGCAAGUGCCCUCCUCCACCACCAUUACCAUCCUCUUCGCCAUCUGUAAUACUUACCACCGGCUUAUCAGCAAUCCGAAUUAAAAAACCAAUCAAAACUAAGUUCCGCCUGCCGGUGUUUAACUGGACAGCGCUGAAGCCCAAUCAGAUCAAUGGAACGGUGUUCAGUGACCUUGAUGAUGAGCGGAUAUUGCAGGAUUUGGAUAUGGAUAAGUUUGAAGAACUAUUUAAGACAAAAGCACAAGGACCUGCUGUAGACGUAACCUGCUCCAAAAACAAAACAUCACAGAGAUCUGCCAGCAAAGUGACUCUACUUGAAGCAAACCGAGCCAAAAACCUUGCUAUCACCCUACGGAAAGCUGGAAGGUCCAGUGAGGAGAUCUGCAAAGCCAUCCAAACGUUUGACUUGCGGGCGCUGCCUGUGGACUUUGUGGAGUGUCUUGUGCGUUUUCUGCCCACAGAAGCAGAGGUGAAGCUGCUGCGUCAGUACGAGAGGGAGCGUAAGCCUCUAGAUGACUUGUCUAAUGAGGACCGUUUCAUGAUGCUCUUCAGUAAAGUGGAACGUCUUUCCCAGCGCAUGUCCAUCAUGACCUUCUUAGGCAACUUCAAUGAGAACCUGCAGCUGCUUACCCCACAACUAAAUGCAGUGAUUGCAGCGUCUGUCUCUGUAAAGUCAUCCCCAAAGCUAAAACAAAUGCUCGAAAUUAUACUUGCUUUGGGUAAUUAUAUGAACAGCAGUAAAAGAGGGUCUGUGUAUGGCUUCAAACUACAGAGCUUGGAUCUGCUCCAAGACACAAAAUCAACUGACCGAAAGCUCACACUCCUAAAUUAUAUUGCGCUUAUUGCCAAGGAGAAAUACUCUGAUGUGGCCACUUUCUAUAAUGAACUUCAUUUUGUGGAAAAAGCAGCAGCAGUGUCUUUGGAGAAUGUCUUGCUGGAUGUGAAGGAGUUGGGUAAAGGAAUGGAUCUGAUUCGGAAAGAGAGCCAUCACCAUGAUAACACUGUCCUAAGGAACUUUGUGAGCUCAAAUGAAGGAAAACUAGACAAGCUUCAGAAAGAUGCUCGAACUGUUGAGGAAGUAUAUGCAGCUGUGGUGCUCUAUUUUGGAGAGAGUCCAAAGACAACUCCACCUUCUGUUUUCUUUCCUGUAUUUGCACGUUUCAUCAAAUCAUACAAGGAAGCUGAGCUGGAGAAUGAGAUGCGCAAGAAGCAAGAAGAGGUCCUACGAGAGAAGAUGCUAGCGCAAGAAGCAAAGAAACUGGACCCCAAGUCCCCAGUGCAGAAAAAUAAACGGCAGCAGCAAGAUCUGAUUGCAGAGCUGCGCAGAAGGCAGGUGAAAGAUCACCGGCCCGUUUAUGAAGGGAAGGAUGGAACUAUUGAGGACAUUAUCACAGUCUUGAAGAGUGUCCCUUUCACAGCCAGAACAGCCAAGCGGGGCUCUCGGUUCUUCUGUGAUACAUCCCUAUUUGAGGAUUCAAACUGUUAAACCCCAAUGCCUUAACUCGUAUGAAAAGAACCCAGGAAGAAUCAUCUCUAAUUUCCCUCCUUUUGCAGUGGACCUCCGCAAUCAGCCGUUUAGGCGCGCAGAUGCAGUUCUCCGGAAUGCCUGGAGGCAAAUCUAGUACGUACAAGAGCAGAAGUCUUUUGGGCUUCACUACAGUCUCAUCUUAGUGCCUUGGGCCUAUAAUUGAGAUGGACUUAUCAGAUGUCUCUGCACUCCUCCCUCCAUUCCAUGUUUUAAAGGAAAUGAAGAAUCCAGGACACUUUAUGAAGUGCCUUAAAUUUCAGUAUUACUGGACUAUUGUUUCUUUUACUAUUUAUAUAUUUUUAUUGUUUUUUUACUGUGUAAAUAUUUUUGUAACGUUCUUCAUCCAACCAGUAUGUACCCGCUGCUGUGGCAGAACUGGCUGCAAAAGAAGAAAAAGAAGUGCCUUGAAAGUGUUUUGUUUUUUUGUAUAGAGUUUUUAUAUGAAAGUGAUAGACUCAACACUAAAAUUAUAUAAGACUGAAGUCUUCCGCAUUGAAAAGGGCUUGGAAAUGAAAGCCUGUGUUUGGGUUAACUUUAAUAGAGAUAUUAUUUAUCUUCUGUACUUGCUGUAUGGAUGGUAAAUUAAAGGGAAAGUGCCAAAUUUAGUAGACUGCUUUAGAAAGUUGUUAGGAAGACAAGUUUCUGUGCAAGCAAAACGAGUUCCUUGGUGGAAUGCUACCAUGGCUAGAGAACACACUGCUACAUAUAGCCUGUAGCGGUUCUUAUGCCGUCUCACCUCUGUUAUGGCACUGGGAAACCCUCCGCUAAUACUGUUUUCUGCUCACUGACCUUAAUUGGGACUCAGUAGCUUGUUCUUUUUUGUUUAUAUCCUGUAAAAUGUGUUUUAUUUUGUGUUUUAUUUCAUUAAUGUAAGCGGAUUUGAGCUUUGCAGUAGUUUCUCCCAGUUCCACCAGUGUCCAUUGUGAAAUGACUGGGCCAUAGGCAUAGCCAUCUAAUAUGCAGGGUCACUAGAGGAAAGAUGUUGCUGGCUGAACAACAAAGGGAUAUCGUAUAGAUGUAUAGUUGUGCGUGGCACAGUUUUUCCUUGCUUAUUGGCCAUGCCCCCAUCAUUCCUAUGUGCCACAAAGGCCUAUGAAUAUUAAACAGGCAUCAGCAUUUCCAUCUUGAAUUCUAUUUCCGUUCAUAUUUGACCAAAAUGGAUGGGGACACCUGAAAUGGAACACACAUCAGCCCAACGGACCUGCUUCAUAGCGACUUAUUGAGAGAAGACCAAAUAAUUCAUCCUAUUUGGUAGAGGUGAGGAGGCUUAUUUAAAAAAAUAUUCCGUGACCAAUCUAAGUCCUUCGUACUGGAAAUCUUGGUUAUGCCGUGACCAACAUGUCCUGACUGCUCAACUGAGCCAAGUCUGGGCCUUCCAUUCCUGUAGGGUUUAUAAAUGAACUGGUGAUUAGGUUCCUGUCAGUGUCUUCCAUUUAGCCUCAUGGGCCUAUGUUUUAAAUGACCAGAUAGAGUGGCACUGCUUAAGCACCUUGGGAUAUUCUCUGUGCUCUUGAGGACCAUAUGAAUACUGUCUUACCAAAUACUUUUUAUAUUAUUAUGCACCUUUAUCCCAAGCCAAGUAACAGAGGUUCCUGACAAGCAGUAAAUACACUAAAGUAAUGGUGUCACACGCCAAGUAUUCUUUACAGUUACAAGAGUAGUUCCCCUUGAAUUUGCAAUAAGCGAUUACAGUCCCCUAGUACUUUUAUUUUUAUUUAUGCCAAGGCUCUCGUAGUCAGAGCUGAGAGCUUGCUCUUGCAAGAAUAUGAGCCCUUUUUAAGAUGACAUUUUAUAUUCCUAUACAAGCGUAUUCCUCCACUACAGCAAGUCUGAUAUUGUAACUUAUUAUUGGCUGCUCAGCAAUCAUUUAACUUGGUCUCAGUAACAGACCCCCAUUCCAAUGGGCAAAGUUUAAAUUCCAGUUUUUUAUUCUACAGUCAUCCCUUUCAGUUAUUUUCUAUAUCAUUUACAGUUUAACUUGUAAGCAUUCCAUUGUAUCGCCUUCAUGUAACUUUUGUGCAUGUAAAAUACAUUCCUGACUUGGCAGAUACCAGGGAGCGGCUGUAGCUUUUUCCAGUGUAUUAAUCCUGUACAGUAUAUUAUUGCUAAUAUAAAGCCAGUACUUGUUUGCUACGGGCUGUUUUCUUGUCUCAUUGUCAGAUUACGAGAAAAUUGUUCUUGCUUUCUUUCAUUGUCUCGUCAACAAUAAACUUGGAGAGCUUAACUUGCA